UUUUUGGUUCUUCCAAAGCAUAUUUUGGUUCUGGACUCCUUCAGCUAAGAAUUAAAAAGCUUCUACUCUUCGAGAUUGCUGCUUGCUUUGUUUGUUUGAUCUGGACUAUUUUCGUGCAUUUUGGUUUAAAGCUUGCACUAAUAGUUUUGGAUAAGGGAAGUGAAGAUGCUGGCUGGCUACUCUACAAUCAUUUCACAGGGAGAUGCAAUAUUCUUCUUUUCGGUUGGUGAUGGAAGUGGAUCAUCUGCUGUUACAGGGUCAUCCCCACAUGCUGAAGCUCCAUCACUUCCUGAUUCAGAAUUUAUGUCU